rnacentral:rRNA from 1 species
GAUAAGCGCUGAAAGCAUCUAAGCGCGAAGCCCCCCUCAAGAUGAGAUUUCCCAAUUAGUAAGACCCCUGGAAGACGACCAGGUUGAUAGGCUCGAGGUGGAAGCGCAGCAAUGCGUGCAGCUGACGAGUACUAAUAGGUCGAGGGCUUAUCCUAAG